rnacentral:rRNA from 1 species
GAUGAACGCUGACAGAAUGCUUAACACAUGCAAGUCUUUGGCGAAGCUGUGCUUGCACCGCCUAGCCAAGGCGGACGGGUGAGUAACGCGUAAGGAACUUGCCCUGCAGUCAGGGAUAACAGACGGAAACGACUGAUAAGACCUGGUAAAGUCAGGCGGACUCAUGUCCAGCCUGAUGAAAAGUGAUGCUGCAGGAGAGCCUUGCGUCCUAUUAGCUUGUUGGUGGGGUAACGGCCCACCAAGGCGAUGAUAGGUAGCCGGCCUGAGAGGGUGGACGGCCACAAGGGGACUGAGAUACGGCCCUUACUCCUACGGGAGGCAGCAGUGGGGAAUAUUGGACAAUGGGGGCAACCCUGAUCCAGCAAUUCUGUGUGCACGAUGAAGGUUUUCGGAUUGUAAAGUGCUUUCAGCAGGGAAGAAAAAAAUGACGGUACCUGCAGAAGAAGCGACGGCUAAAUACGUG